GUGCUUGCUUUGGCCGCACUUAUACUAAAAUUGGAAUGAUAUAGAGAAGAUUAGCAUGGCCCCGUGCAAGGAUGAACACAAAUUUGUGAAGCAUUCCGUAUUUUG
rnacentral:snRNA from 1 species